AACGAACGCUGGCGGCAUGCCUAACACAUGCAAGUCGAACGAGACCUUCGGGUCUAUUGGCGCACGGGUGCGUAACGCGUGGGAACCUGCCCUUAGGUUCGGAAUAACUCCCCGAAAGGGGUGCUAAUACCGGAUAAUGUCUUCGGACCAAAGAUUUAUCGCCUUUGGAUGGGCCCGCGUUGGAUUAGCUAGUUGGUAGUGUAAAAGCCUACCAAGGCGACGAUCCAUAGCUGGUCUGAGAGGAUGAUCAGCCACACUGGGACUGAGACACGGCCCAGACUCGUACGGGAGGGAGCAGUGGGGAAUAUUAGACAAUGGACGAAAGCCUGAUCAAGCAAUGCCGGGUGAGUGAUGAAGGCCUUAGGGUUGUAAAGCUCUUUUACCCGAGAUGAUAAUGACAGUACCGGGAGAAUAAGCUCCGGCUAACUACGUG
rnacentral:rRNA from 1 species